rnacentral:rRNA from 1 species
CCUACGGGAGGCAGCAGUGAGGAAUAUUGGUCAAUGGACGAGAGUCUGAACCAGCCAAGUAGCGUGAAGGAUGACUGCCCUAUGGGUUGUAAACUUCUUUUAUAAAGGAAUAAAACGAGGCACGUGUGCCUUUUUGCAUGUACUUUAUGAAUAAGGAUCGGCUCACUCCGUGCCAGCAGCCGCGGUAAUACGGAGGAUCCGAGCGUUUUCCGGAUUUGUUGGGUUUAAAGGGAGCGUAGAUGGGUUGUUAAGUCAGUUGUGAAAGUUUGCGGCUCAACCGUAAAAUUGCAAUUGAUACUGGCAGUCUUGAGUACAGUUGAGGUAGGCGGAAUUCGUGGUGUAGCGGUGAAAUGCUUAGAUAUCACGAAGAACCCCGAUUGCGAAGGCAGCUUACUAAACUGUGACUGACAUUGAUGCUCGAAAGUGUGGGUAUCAAACAGGAUUAGAUACCCGAGUAGUC